rnacentral:rRNA from 1 species
UGAAUACGAGACGCUAAGGCGUCGAAGUAGUGUAUGUCAUACUUCCAAGAAAAGCUUGCACUGUCAUAAGUAAAAAAUGCCUGUACCAUAACCGACACAGGUGGGUAGGUAGAGUAUACUAAGGGGCGCGAGAUAACUCUCUCUAAGGAACUCGGCAAAAUAACUCCGUAACUUCGGGAGAAGGAGUACCUUAUUCUAUAAGGUUGCAAUAACAAGAUCCAAGCAACUGUUUAUCAAAAACACAGGUCUCCGCUAGGUCGUAAGACGAUGUAUGGGGGCUGACGCCUGCCCAGUGCCAGAAGGUUAAAGAAGUCGGUUAGCAUUAGCGAAGCUGGUAACUGAAGCCCUGGUGAACGGCGGCCGUAACGAUAACGGCCCUAAGGUAGCGAAAUUCCUUGUCGGGUAAGUUCCGACCCGCACGAAAGGCGUAAUGAUUUGGAUACUGUCUCGGAGAGGGGCUCGGUGAAAUAGACUUGUCUGUGAAGAUGCGGACUACCUGCACCAGGACAGAAAGACCCUAUGAAGCUUUACUGUAACUUGAAAUUGAAAUUGGACUUUAUUCGCGCAGUAUAGGUGGGAGGUGUUGAUUAUAAUCUUGCGGGAUUAUUGGAGCCAUCAGUGAGAUACCACUCUUGUAAUGUUAGAUUUCUAACUUUGAAUCAUUAUCUGGUCAAAGGACAGUUUCAGGCGGGCAGUUUGACUGGGGCGGUCGCCUCCCAAACGGUAACGGAGGCGUACAAAGGUUUCCUCUGAACGGGUAGAAAUCGUAUCUAGAGUGUAAAGGCAUAAGGAAGCUUGACUGUGAGACCUACAAGUCGAACAGGGACGAAAGUCGGUCUUAGUGAUCUGACGGUACUGAGUGGAAAGGCCGUCACUCAACGGAUAAAAGCUACUCUAGGGAUAACAGGCUGAUCUCCCCCAAGAGUUCACAUCGACGGGGAGGUUUGGCACCUCGAUGUCGGCUCAUCGCAUCCUGGGGCGGUAGUACGUCCCAAGGGUUGGGCUGUUCGCCCAUGAAAGCGGUACGCGAGCUGGGUUCAGAACGUCGUGAGACAGUUCGGUCCAUAUCCGGUGUAGGCGUUAGAAUAUUGAGAGGAGCCUUCUUUAGUACGAGAGGACCGAGAAGGACAUACCUCUGGUGUACCAGUUAUCGUGCCAACGGUAAACGCUGGGUAGCUAUGUAUGGAGUGGAUAACCGCUGAAAGCAUCUAAGUGGGAAGCCCACCUCAAGAUAAGUAUUCU